rnacentral:rRNA from 1 species
UGGGAAAUUGCCCUGAUGUGGGGGAUAACCAUUGGAAACGAUGGCUAAUACCGCAUGAUAGCUUCGGCUCAAAGAGGGGGACCUUCGGGCCUCUCGCGUCAGGAUAUGCCCAGGUGGGAUUAGCUAGUUGGUGAGGUAAGGGCUCACCAAGGCGACGAUCCCUAGCUGGUCUGAGAGGAUGAUCAGCCACACUGGAACUGAGACACGGUCCAGACUCCUACGGGAGGCAGCAGUGGGGAAUAUUGCACAAUGGGCGCAAGCCUGAUGCAGCCAUGCCGCGUGUAUGAAGAAGGCCUUCGGGUUGUAAAGUACUUUCAGCAGUGAGGAAGGAGGUAUCGUUAAUAGCGGUAUCUUUUGACGUUAGCUGCAGAAGAAGCACCGGCUAACUCCGUGCCAGCAGCCGCGGUAAUACGGAGGGUGCGAGCGUUAAUCGGAAUUACUGGGCGUAAAGCGCAUGCAGGUGGUUUGUUAAGUCAGAUGUGAAAGCCCGGGGCUCAACCUCGGAAUUGCAUUUGAAACUGGCAGGCUAGAGUACUGUAGAGGGGGGUAGAAUUUCAGGUGUAGCGGUGAAAUGCGUAGAGAUCUGAAGGAAUACCGGUGGCGAAGGCGGCCCCCUGGACAGAUACUGACACUCAGAUGCGAAAGCGUGGGGAGCAACAGGAUUAGAUACCCUGGUAGUCCACGCCGUAAACGAUGUCUACUUGGAGGUUGUGGCCUUGAGCCGUGGCCUUUCGGAGCUAACGCGUUAA